rnacentral:rRNA from 1 species
GCGAAAGCGUUAAGUAUCCCACCUGGGGAGUACGCCGGCAACGGUGAAACUCAAAGGAAUUGACGGGGGCCCGCACAAGCGGAGGAACAUGUGGUUUAAUUCGAUGAUACGCGAGGAACCUUACCCGGGCUUGAAUUGCGACUGACUGCAUCAGAGAUGAUGUUUCCAGCAAUGGCAGUCGUGAAGGUGCUGCAUGGUUGUCGUCAGCUCGUGCCGUGAGGUGUCGGCUUAAGUGCCAUAACGAGCGCAACCCUUUUCCCUGUUUGCCAUCGGGUAAUGCCGGGCACUCCAGGGAUACUGCCAUCGUAAGAUGUGAGGAAGGUGGGGAUGACGUCAAAUCAGCACGGCCCUUACGUCCGGGGCUACACACGUGUUACAAUGGGCGGCACAGAGGGCAGCGACCGCGCGAGCGGCAGCCAAUCCCGAAAUCCGCUCUCAGUUCGGACUGGAGUCUGCAACCCGACUCCACGAAGCUGGAUUCGCUAGUAAUCGCGCAUCAGCCAUGGCGCGGUGAAUACGUUCCCGGGCCUUGUACACACCGCCCGUC